CUCUCUCUCUCUCUCUCUCUACUAGUAAACUGAUUAGUUUCACGGUAGUCCAUAUGUUUUUCAAUUAUGGAUUCGCUUGCUUUAGUUUUUCUGAUUGAUAAUUGUUUCUUUUUUUUUCUGCUAUAUUUGGUGUUUGGAGUGCGAUUUAGGGGCUGCCUUUCUCAUGUAAUGCUACCCAGUUACUGUAUUUGAGAACUUGGUGGUUUCUGGCAUUAUUGAUCGAGUGAAUUUGCUAAGUGGUUCCUAGGUUCAUUUUGGUGCUCUUUUGUUUUGUUUUUUUUGUUCCGACUGCUUUCUAGAGGGAACAGCGAGGCUAUAAAACCAGGCAAAUAUUCAAAAAUGUUACCAGAGGAUGAGGACUAGUCCCUCGGUGAGGAAGAUGAUGAGGGGGUGAAACUAAUCAAGUUAUGUGUGUGUGGUGCCUGUGGGGAAAGCUAUGCUGCAAAUGAAUUCUAGAUUUGUUGUGAACAGCAUGUGUAAUUUAAUUUGGAUUUCACCUAGCCUUUUCUGUAUUGUUAGAACUUACAUUUAUAAUCCUUAUUUGUGUUUGUUGUUUACAGUUUUUUUCCAGAAAUAAUAGAACCGAAAAUUUAAACCGAAUGACCAGCUCAGUUCGGUUUCAUUUUCAGUUAUUGAAAAAUUAUAAACCGAACUCAACUGAACUGAAGUACAAAUUCAGUUCAGUUUUCAGUUUUAGUCUAAACCCGAACCGAUCAAACCGAAUUACACCCCUAGUUGCCACCAUCCUCGUGUCUUGAAGCUUCGGUGACCUGCAACGGAGGCCCGACGCCUCGAUGACAAAGACUGAUAUGAUUUGAUCUGCAGCAGUCUUCGUCAAGUCGGCACCUUCCUCUAAUCUCUGCAGCAGUCAUCAUUGGCCGAACCACCUUCAUCCGAACCAAGUCCUAUUUCUCAAUCUUUAUGUUUUAUCUCUUCUACAUUAGAGGAAGUAUAUGUUUAUAACAUAUGGAGUAGCUUUUGAUAAUCGGUGUAGUAGCUU